rnacentral:misc_RNA from 1 species
AUCCAAACGGGCAAGUGAUGCAAACAAAAUCAUCAGGAACCAUACAACUACUGUAUGAUCAUCUCUUCUGGUCGAGGAAUAGACUGCCAACCUGCACAGAUUUGGACAACAGCUUUCAGGGAAUCUGAUGGAGCUUCUAGUGUCCAUGUUGGAUAAUAUUCACUUGGAUGGAACACACAUUCUUCACCAACACCGGUUAAUAAGCAUGACUGAGCUCCAUUAAGGAAUACAUCUCCUUCAGAUAUUAUUAAACCAGACUUGGCCUCUUCCUUGUCUGCUGCCUAUAGAACCAUCAGAAUGGCAACAUUUCAGAAUAUAUAUAUACACGUGUGUGUAUGCGUGCGCACGCGCGCGUAAGAAGGGCAACAUUUCAGAAUAUGUGUGUGUAAAUUUUUUUUUUUAUAACAAACAAAUAUUGUAAUACACAUCUGAUGUCUUUAAUACAAAAGUUUCAACCUUGAGUAUGACAUUAUUUCAGCUUUAAAAAGCCAUCCAUGUCUAUGCAUCUUCCCUUUUUUUCCUUUUCAUAAGCCCUUCAAAUAGGGGUGCUUAUAUAGAACAGCAUGUCUUUAAUGCAUUUAUUGAGUCCCUAAUAUGGAAAUCAAUCAAGCUGAUUUUAGUACUUGGAACAUGAUGUCUUUAAGAUUAAUAACUUUGCAACAAAUUACAUAGCUGUUCAGCAUUGGCUUCCUUUACUACCUAAUGGAGCCAUUUCUGUGAAAUUGUGCUGGAUAUGAUUUGAACUUUAUCCAAAACCAGUGCACCCUUAACAAAUAAUUAUACCCAAUUUGUUACUGUAGAAAAUAUUGACUCCAGGACUAUUCUUUGUUCAGCUUUUGAACAGAUGAUACCAUGGAUCAUAUUGAGGCCUUGUUACUCAGAAAUUCAUCACCUGGAGUAUGAUUUUCCCAAAAAGAUAAUAAUUAUAUACAAGUUGCAUUCACCAGUAAGUUGAAGGGCACAUGAUAUGAUAACUGAUAUAAGUUUACUCUACAUACUAUUGUAUGGAAGGUGAGGGGAAUAAUUCACAAUUGGUAGUUUAAAAUGGCCAUUAAGAUUUGUCAGCAACAAAAUGAUCCAAAUAUGCAGUAUUGGUUGAAUUCUAAUGUCAAAUUCUAUAAACUAAGGGAUUUGGUUAUCGAGUGCCAUUGCCGCUUAAUACUUCAUAAUGGAUUUCUUACAACUGAUGUAUAACUUAAAACAUCGAGACAACUAAGCCCCAAUUGCAAAACAGUUUGUGUUAGCUACAUCUUUUCUUCAUCAUUCCACCCUGUCCAAGACCAUAUUCUACAAGAUGCACAGAAUAAAUUUGUUUUUCACUACUUUAAAGGUCACUGUUUUUACUUUACGUCCUUUCCUGGAUCAUAUUUUUAUUUCCUACAUUAGAUAUGUAGUCUUCUUUAUAGAUCUCUCCCAGUGCUGAUAAUUAUUUUACAGUCAAAAACUCAAAAUCAGCUCUAAGGUUAAGUCAAGAGCAUCACUUUACCUUCUCUGUAUAAUAUUCAAAGGUCUUUUUCUUCUGUCCUGCUUCAUAUAUAUUGUAUUGAGAAAAUAUCUGAUAAAAUAAUCAUAAAAAGAAACAACAAUAAUUAGACAAACAAAUGGUUUUAGAUUAUGAAGUUCAGAAAUUAGUUAUAUACGCUGCAGAUGUCCUCAUGGCAGAACAUCUCAUAUCCUUAUUUAUAAAGUAAAGCAUCAUCUUUUACCUGAGAUUCUACACUUGCACAAACAGCGUAAAUUCCCCAAUUCCUUGUGUAAUUGUUGUACAAAUGAACUUUCCCAAAUCUAAGCCGAGGUUGUCUUUGCCGUGUUCCAUCAAAAAAACAAUGGUGAAUUGUUACUCGGAUGCAUCUAUCACCAACAUGAGAGGGGUCUGCUCCAAUAAGCAUUGUCUUGUCAUGCUGUGCAAAGUAACAUCUCGAAACAGUGAUAUCGGUGCUUUGUCUGGUGAUAUCAAUAAGUCCAUCAUCAUAAUCACGAAGGCUGCAUCGAUCUAUCCAAAUGUGCCUAGAAUUUGGCUUUAUUUGAAUGCCGUCAACAUCAUGUCCUCUACCACCUUCAAACUCAAGGUUACAGAUGAUAAUAUGUUCACAUUCUUUCAAUCUUAAGCCCUUGCCAGUGAGCUUAACCCUUUGACCCCUGCCAUCUAUUGUCUUAUAAGAAGACACACUUAAGUAUGAUGAAAGAUGAAUGGUACCCGAAACCUCAAAAACAAUCCAUAGUGGUUGUCUUCUUCUGCAACCCUCACGGAGCGAUCCAGGACCAUCAUCGGCCAAAGUGGUGACGUAAUAGAGCGGACCAUGGAGGCCACCAAUGGCGAAACGGCCGAAUCCCUCUGCACGGCCGGCAAUGGAUCGGAGGCUGAAGUCGACGUCGGCGUACGGCAGCGAGGUCAUGUUCGUCCCCUUUGUUUAGCUAGAAUUGAAGAAUCCUUAAUAUUUUUUAUUAUUAGCUUGAAGAUAGUGAUCAG